AGACUCUGUGCGCGUGCAUAUCAAUAAGCGGAGGAAAAGAAACUAACAAGGAUUCCCUUAGUAACGGCGAGUGAAGCGGGAAGAGCUCAAAUUUGAAAUCUUCAAGGUUCUACCUUGACGAAUUGUAGUUUAUAGAAGUGUUUUCUGUUAGUAGAGUGGCAAAAGUUCUUUGGAAUAGGACAUCAUAGAGGGUGAGAAUCCCGUAUUUGGUCAUUCUUUCUAGCUUUGUGAUACACUUUCAACGAGUCGGAUUGUUUGGGAAUGCAGUCCAAAAUGGGUGGUAAAUUUCAUCUAAAGCUAAAUAUUGGCGAGAGACCGAUAGCGAACAAGUACCGUGAGGGAAAGAUGAAAAGAACUUUGAAAAGAGAGUUAAACAGUACGUGAAAUUGUCAAAAGGGAAGCGUUUGACACCAGUGUUGUUUUCUCGAAAAUCAAUUAAAAAUGAUGGGAUUUGUAGUAGUAUUGACUUUAUCAGCUUUCUGCACUUUUUUCUCAUAUAUUAUUUAAUGCACUUUUCAGUUAACAAGUCAACAUCAAUUUCUUUUGUUGUAAAAGGGUCAUCGGAAGGUGGCUUUCUUUUCGGAGAAAGUGUUUAUAGCCUUUGGCCUCUGCAAUCGGAGAGAUUGAGGUCUGCAGCGUAGAUCCUUCGGGGUUAGAUACAUUUGUGCUAAGUUAUAGCCUUUCAUAGACAACUUGUUGACUAUGUUUAGUCAUGCGGCUUACUCGCUUGUGCUAUUUUACCUACGCUUAGGAUGUUGAAGAUGUAGCACAUCAU
rnacentral:rRNA from 1 species